CGGAGGAACAGCCCCAGUGGCGGGGCCAGCUCUGGAAACCUGGAGUCAGCCCCCGCAGUGACUCCUCUGCAGGGCCUGGAGGCUCCGGGGCGGG
rnacentral:pre_miRNA from 1 species